AUAUGCAUUAUUGAAUGGUAUGAUAGAUGGUGAAGUGCCACUAAAAACUGUUGAAAAAUAAGAUAAAAUGCUCAGGACAGCCCUUGGCUUGUGACAGGCACUCAAUUAGCUAUUAGCAUUGAUCCGCAUGCACACGCAAAGGGCAAGCCCUCCUCAGUGGAGUCUUUCACGGUUGUGUUGGCUGCGCUGGGGUAUGGAAACAGCAGAACAUGGAGGCCCACCUGACAUGCCAACUGUCCCUUUAGGGGAGUAGAAGUCAAAUGAAUUAGGAAGGAGGUAACAGCUCCUCUGGCUGGGCCUUGUCUCUGGGGGAUUCUUUCAAGGACACGCUGGUUCCCACAGAAAAGUGCCUGGCUCCUUGGGUAACUGUUCUGUUUGUGGGAAGAGGUUUGGUGUUCAUGAUGCUCUUGUAGAUGGUGUUUGUUUGUUUGCCUGUUUGCUGUUGUUGCUCUAAGCACUUCCUGCCCCACCCCCCACCCCCAGGAAUCCAUAGGAGCAUUCUGCCCCCAGAGGGAUGCCAGGCUGGGCUCCGUGUAAACAAUCCAUGCUGUGCACGGGCCAGAUGGCUCCACACAGCAAGCUUUGUUAUUUCAUUCACACACAAAAAAGUCAGAAACAAGCUGAUUUGGCCAUUUUUGGCCCACUGGAAGAGUAAACAACUCUCUUUUGAUUUGCAAGCUUAUUUUGACGGAACUCAGUUGUGCAGGUAGAUGAACACAGGUACAAAUAAGAACUCCGAAAGUCAUUGCUGGUCAGACGUGGACAACUCAGACAGAACACACAUAAGGGCAAGGCUCCAAGUCCACUUAUGCUUCCCACUCUGCAAGUUCUCGUGUUCUCUCAUCUCGGCCUUCUGCUCUCCCCAACAUCCUCCCAAGGUUAUUGCAGAAAGACAUGUUUGAAUGCUUAGAAUUUGAUCAAGCUGACACUAAUUUAAAGGCAUAUGGCUGUUUUUACAUCUAAUCAAGUUUGAUUUAGAAGAAAAGGAAAAAGAAAUAAUGUGAGGCUCAGUGCACUGGGGCUUAGAAUGCCUCACUCCAAAAUCUGAGAACAAAGAUUAGACUGGGAGUUAGGAGAACCAAGUCUUCACCCUAGUUCUGCCUCCCUUCAUUUUAAUUUUUAAUAAUGUUUUAAAGAAGUGUGAUGGUUACAUAAAAAUUGCACAAAAAGUACAUCGAGUUCCCAAGCGCCUCCUCUGCCCUUGGCCCAGUCUCUCCUGUUCUUGACAUUCUUGCAUCCUUGCAUUGGUCCAGUUGGUGGACCAGUAUUGAUAAGACUAUUAUUAACCAAGGAACCCUGGGAGCGCUAUCAAGUACGCAUCGCAUCGAGCUGCAAGGCCUGCUCUUCCACUCCUCAGAAGAAAGGACCUGUACAUGGACCAAGAGACAGUCAUUCAAACAGAACAAGGGGGUACCGCCUCGUGUAACAUCUGGAAAGGUGUGUAGCAGAGUUGUUUCCUGUCACCAACUUUGCUCAACCUGCAUGCUGCCCAGUGAAUCCAAGAAGCUGAUCUACAUGAAUGAGGCAUCAAGACCGGAGGAAGGAGUCCCUCAAUAGCACCAGUGGGUAAGUGCUUAACGACUAGUGGGUUCAACCUCCCCAGAAACCCCUUGGAACACAGACUGCUUCCGAAAGGUCCCCGCCGUGAAGCGCCUAUGGAGCACAGUUCUACUCGGGACACCUGGGUUUGCUGGGAGUUGGCAUCGGAACCAGCUUGAUGGCAAGUACUAGCACUAUGCCUCUCCCCGCCCUGUUUACCUUCUGUGGCUGGAUGCAGAUGCUGAAGCUGCAGGACGUCCAGGAGCCACACAAGAAAGAAGUCUGGCCUUGGGGCAUCUGCCUCAACCAGUAUGGGAAUGGGAAAUGAAUUUCUAUUGUAUUUGAUUAUUCGACACUUGGGAUCUUUUUGUUUUUGUAGUUUAGCUAGUUCCCUAAUACAGAAAUUGGCUUCAGAAGGGGAAAGGCUAUGUAAUAAAUACCUACAACAUGCAGCCCUUGUUUGCUUGUUGUGCAGUCGGAAACGAGCACUCAUUGGCCUUGAGUCCAUUUCUGACUCACGGUGACCCUAUGGGCCAGGGUUACACUGGCCCUGUGGGUGUCCGAGACUGUAACUCUUUUCAGGCGUAGAAACCCUUCUCCUUGUCCUGGGGGCUGGCUGGUGAUGGCGAACUGCUGGCCUUUCCGUUAGCAGCCCAGUAAAGUGAACACGACACGACGCCACCAGGGCUUCAGGGAAGGAAACAGGAAUGGGCUGUAAAAAUGGCAAUUCACAUUCUGGAAUGGCAAAAUAUCUGUUAAAACUGUUUCUUUUGGAAGGAAGGUCGAGUGGCUAUCAAGCCUGUAGCUCAAGGUAAAGUUAUGAAAAAGAGGCAGGGUGUUCGUGUGUGUUCGAGUUGAGGUUCUUGUAGCAUGUGUUACAAGAGAAAUCUGGUUUCUUGCAAGAGUUGAUUAGCUUGUUGAACGGAAAUAAAAAAGGAAUGAAGAGAAUCACAAAAUUUGGGAAAGCUUAUUUAUUCUAGACUCCAAACAGUAAGAAAGAAGAUUGUCAAGAGAGAGAGAAGAAAGGAAACACACACACACACACACACACACACACACACAGCUUUGAGAGGACAAAGACCCAGUAAGAACUCUUAGUUAAAUAUAGGAGCUCAAACUUGCAAGAAAGAUCAGAUUAAGAGUGUAGCCUCUCCCCACAGGCCUAUUGUUCUGACGGCCUCAAGGUGGCUGAGGGAAAGCCAGGGAGACAAACGCUUUAUGCUUUAGAACGAUGCCUAGGAAAGAGCUCUGGGUGUGGUGUCUGGCACUUGGAAUUAAUUGGAAGCAAAUAAACGAGGAGCUUGUGAAUUUUUGGUUUAUCAGGAAAUCACAAGCUUGCGUGAAAUAAUCUUUGAUUGGUCAAGCCUUACCUUUGGGAUCUAAAUUUGCAUGAGCAGGAAGUUGGCUUUUUUGAAGGUUGUCUACAAGAAGGGCACUUUGGAUGUGGUCACAAAGGACAGUGUUGGGCAAGGAAGGAAAUCUUAGAGGGCAGUUUAAGGAGCCCCAGAGAAUAAUGGACAAGGAGUUCCUUCCAGGAAGCCGAUGAAAGGCUAAGGAAGGAAUCUCCCCACACCCCAGGAGGCAGAGGAUCUUCACCCUGCUCAGCCAGCAGAAUUCCAUCUCUGCUGUAAAUAAGAACUGCUGCGUAUUCCUCGUUCUUUCUUUUAUGAAUGGGACUUUGAUGGCACUUAAGCAAGUACCUCCGUGGUACAUGAUGGGUGUUCGAGGCGUGGAUAGCUGGCCUUUUACUUAAUAGGUUACUGGACCCUGAGGAUUGAGAAGACAUGUAUCCUCAAGAGUCCUGGACUUGGAGAGAGCAGCAUGAGGCUCAGGGCGACCUUCCUCGAGGCCCACAUGGGAAUAACCUCUCUGUGGGAAAACUCACUGCCAUCGAGUCAAUGAUGACUCAUAGCAGCCCUAUAGGACAGAGUAGACCUGCUCCU